rnacentral:tRNA from 1 species
GGUUUGUGGCUCAGUGGUAGAGCACUUGCCUAGCAUGUGUGAGACACUAUGUUCAAUUCUCAGCACCG